GCUUUUCUAGUAUAAAUUAGUACAAGUGAUUUCCAAUUAUUUAAUCUUGGUUAAAACCCAAGGAGGAGUA
rnacentral:tRNA from 5 species